UACGAAGGGGGCUAGCGUUGCUCGGAAUCACUGGGCGGAAAGGGUGCGUAGGCGGGUCUUUAAAUCAGGGGUGAAAUCCUGGAGCUCAACUCCAGAACUGCCUUUGAUACUGAGGAUCUUGAGUUCGGGAGAGGUGAGUGGAACUGCGAGUGUAGAGGUGAAAUUCGUAGAUAUUCGCAAGAACACCAGUGGCGAAGGCGGCUCACUGGCCCGAUACUGACGCUGAGGCACGAAAGCGUGGGGAGCAAACAGG
rnacentral:rRNA from 1 species